rnacentral:rRNA from 1 species
GACGUAGGGCGCGAGCGUUGUCCGGAUUUAUUGGGCGUAAAGGGCUCGUAGGCGGUCUGUCGCGUCGGUCGUGAAAACUUGGGGCUUAACCCUGAGCUUGCGGUCGAUACGGGCAUGACUGGAGUUCGGCAGGGGAGACUGGAAUUCCUGGUGUAGCAGUGAAAUGCGCAGAUAUCAGGAGGAACGACCGGUGGCGAAGGCGGGUCUCUGGGCCGUAACUGACGCUGAGGAGCGAAAGCGUGGGGAGCGAACAGG